rnacentral:rRNA from 1 species
UGGGUGCAACUNGGCACUCAGUGUCGAAGCUAACGCGUUAAGUUCGCCCCCUGGGGAGUACGGUCGCAAGACUGAAACUCAAAGGAAUUGACGGGGGCCCGCACAAGCGGUGGAGUAUGUGGUUUAAUUCGAUGCAACGCGAAGAACCUUACCUGGUCUUGACAUGUCCGGAAUCCUGCCAGAGAUGCGGGAGUGCCUUCGGGAAUCGGAACACAGGUGCUGCAUGGCUGUCGUCAGCUCGUGUCGUGAGAUGUUGGGUUAAGUCCCGCAACGAGCGCAACCCUUGUCCUUAGUUGCCAGCACGUAAUGGUGGGAACUCUAAGGAGACUGCCGGUGACAAACCGGAGGAAGGUGGGGAUGACGUCAAGUCACCAUGGCCCUUACGAACCAGGGCUACACACGUACUACAAUGGGGGGUACAGAGGGUUGCGAAGCCGCCGAGGUGAAGCCAAUCCCAGAAAACCCCUCUCAGUCCGGAUCGUAGUCUGCAACUCGACUACGUGAAGUCGGAAUCGCUAGUAAUCGCGAAUCAGCAUUGUCGCGGUGAAUACGUUCCCGGGCCUUGUACACACCGCCCGUCACANCCAUGGGAGUUGGUUGCUCCAGAAGCAGGUAGUCUAACCGUAAGGGGGACGCUUGCCACGGAGUGGUCAAUGACUGGGGUGAAGUCGUAACCAAGGUACC